rnacentral:rRNA from 1 species
UACGGGGGGAGCAAGCGUUGUUCGGAUUUACUGGGCGUAAAGGGCGCGUAGGCGGCCAGCACAAGUCAGUUGUGAAAUCUCCGAGCUUAACCCGGAAAGGUCAGCCGAUACUGCGGGGCUAGAGUGCAGAAGGGGCGACUGGAAUUCUCGGUGUAGCGGUGAAAUGCGUAGAUAUCGAGAGGAACACCUGCGGCGAAGGCGGGUUGCUGGGCUGACACUGACGCUGAGGCGCGAAAGCUAGGGGAGCGAACGGG